rnacentral:rRNA from 1 species
CCUACGGGAGACAGCAGUGGGGGAUAUUGCACAAUGGGGGAAACCCUGAUGCAGCGACGCCGCGUGGGUGAAGAAGCGCCUCGGCGCGUAAAGCCCUGUCAGCAGGGAAGAAAAUGACGGUACCUGAAGAAGAAGCCCCGGCUAACUACGUGCCAGCAGCCGCGGUAAUACGUAGGGGGCAAGCGUUAUCCGGAUUUACUGGGUGUAAAGGGGGCGCAGACGGCGAUGCAAGCCAGGAGUGAAAGCCCGGGGCCCAACCCCGGGAUUGCACUUGGAACUGCGUGGCUAGAGUGCAGGAGGGGCAGGCGGAAUUCGUGGUGUAGCGGUGAAAUGCGUAGAUAUCAGGAGGAACACCGGUGGCGAAGGCGGCCUGCUGGACUGCAACUGACGUUGAGGCCCGAAAGCGUGGGGAGCAAACAGGAUUAGAUACCCGAGUAGUC